rnacentral:lncRNA from 1 species
AACCGGGAUAGGCAAGGACGCUGUCUCCUGUACAGAUGGGUGUCAAGCAAUGUAACAAUGUUAUUUUGCUCACGACUAAUGUCCUGCUCUUGUGGCUCUGCUUCUUCUCUCUACGCGUAGUUACUUCUGAAUUGCUCAUACAUGAGGGGAUCACUGUUACUGCAAUUUGCGAUAUGUAUUAUGAACUCAACUUGCAUGCGAAUGACCACGGCAACUUAUGAUUUUUCAUUAAGAUGAAAAGGUCAUAAUUAAACUGGUUGAGAAAGACCAUGAACCUGGUCACCCACAUGUGGAUUUAUUCUCUAUGGAUCAUCCUGUAAGGCCCCUGUCCCAUACAUGAAUGCUGUCUUUAGCCCAUUCACAAUGUAACGACUAUAACAAUGUUGAUAGAAUUAAACGAGUUACCACAUAGAAUGAAAGACGAUGUUGCGAAUGACUAAAUAAAUAAAUAGAAGGAAACGAUAUGUUGCAUGAGACAAA